CCUUUGGGGGGGGGGUUUUAUAAGGGUUUUUAAAACGGUCAGAUUGAACGCUGGCGGCAGGCCUAACACAUGCAAGUCGAGCGGAUGAGAAGAGCUUGCUCUUCGAUUCAGCGGCGGACGGGUGAGUAAUGCCUAGGAAUCUGCCUGGUAGUGGGGGACAACGUUUCGAAAGGAACGCUAAUACCGCAUACGUCCUACGGGAGAAAGCAGGGGACCUUCGGGCCUUGCGCUAUCAGAUGAGCCUAGGUCGGAUUAGCUAGUUGGUGGGGUAAUGGCUCACCAAGGCGACGAUCCGUAACUGGUCUGAGAGGAUGAUCAGUCACACUGGAACUGAGACACGGUCCAGACUCCUACGGGAGGCAGCAGUGGGGAAUAUUGGACAAUGGGCGAAAGCCUGAUCCAGCCAUGCCGCGUGUGUGAAGAAGGUCUUCGGAUUGUAAAGCACUUUAAGUUGGGAGGAAGGGCAGUAAGCGAAUACCUUGCUGUUUUGACGUUACCGACAGAAUAAGCACCGGCUAACUCUGUGCCAGCAGCCGCGGUAAUACAGAGGGUGCAAGCGUUAAUCGGAAUUACUGGGCGUAAAGCGCGCGUAGGUGGUUUGUUAAGUUGGAUGUGAAAGCCCCGGGCUCAACCUGGGAACUGCAUCCAAAACUGGCAAGCUAGAGUACAGUAGAGGGUGGUGGAAUUUCCUGUGUAGCGGUGAAAUGCGUAGAUAUAGGAAGGAACACCAGUGGCGAAGGCGACCACCUGGACUGAUACUGACACUGAGGUCGAAAGAACGCC
rnacentral:rRNA from 1 species